GCCACAGGACAUUACAAUCCGUUCUUUCCAGGCAAACUGGUCAUACCUGUAACUACAGCUCCAAAUAUCUCCUGGUCUGACCUCAGUGCCCUGGAGUUGUUGAAAUCUAUACCAGUGGGAGUUGGUCAGAUCUAUGGCUGUGAUAAUCCAUGGACAGGGGGCAUUUUCCUGGGAGCCAUCCUACUCUCCUCCCCACUCAUGUGCCUGCAUGCUGCCAUAGGAUCAUUGCUGGGCAUAGCAGCGGGACUCAGUCUUUCAGCCCCAUUUGAGGACAUCUACUUUGGACUCUGGGGUUUCAACAGCUCUCUGGCCUGCAUUGCAAUGGGAGGAAUGUUCAUGGCGCUCACCUGGCAAACCCACCUCCUGGCUCUUGGCUGUGGUGAGUCUCCCACGCCCCUGGGGGAGGGCUGCUCAUGACUACAGGAUCUCAAUCAAGGAUAAGCAGUAAAAACGGACUGCAUGAAAAAUCAGGGCCAGGGUUCUGGCUUGAGCCCACUUGCUGUCUAAGUGUGUGAACAGGACAAGUGACGUCCCCUCUCUGAGAGCAUUAAAAUCACCUCUGCCUACCUCUGUGAUG
rnacentral:sRNA from 1 species